UUGGCUAUGUCUGUCUUUAUUUUUUUUUCUUUUCUCUUUUUUCACCACGAUUCUCGUUCGACUUUGUGUUCAUACACAAAAAGUUGCAAGUGUGUGAGUGCAACCCCGAUUUUCGCGGUCUGAGGUCGGAGUUUCUUUGUUGAACUCAGUUUUCUUGCUUGAAGGGUUGUUUUUGCUAAAAUAAUUUUAAAAAUAUUAAGGUUCUUUAAAAAAUAUACAAAAAAUAAUUGAAUAAUUACCAAUUUUGUUGGAAAUUCUUCAAUAAUUACAGCUCACUUUAAGUUUCGGGUUAGUUUAUGGUGUGGAAAAGGAUUCUGUUGAUGUAGAAGUUUGUCUACAUAGAAUGUUGUAUGAUGUAUCAACGAUUGGUGAUGAAUAGCUUGUGUUAAUUUUUUACUUUCACUUUCGGAUGAAAGUUGUGCACAGAGCUGC